rnacentral:rRNA from 1 species
UACGUAGGGACCAAGCGUUGUCCGGAAUCAUUGGGCGUAAAGAGCGUGUAGGCGGCCUGUUAAGUCUUGCGUGAAAUCUCGGGGCUCAACCCCGAGCGGUCGUGAGAAACUGGCGGGCUAGAGUGCGGGAGAGGAGAGUGGAAUUCCUGGUGUAGCGGUGAAAUGCGCAGAUAUCAGGAAGAACACCCGUGGCGAAGGCGGCUCUCUGGAACGCAACUGACGCUGAGACGCGAAAGCGUGGGGAGCAAACAGG